rnacentral:rRNA from 1 species
GACGAACGCUGGCGGCGUGCCUAAUACAUGCAAGUAGAACGCACAGGAUGCACCGUAGUUUACUACACCGUAUUCUGUGAGUUGCGAACGGGUGAGUAACGCGUAGGUAACCUGCCUGGUAGCGUGGGAUAACUAUUGGAAACGAUAGCUAAUACCGCAUACGAACAUUUACUGCAUGGUAGAUUUUUACAAGGUGCAAAUGCAUCACUACCAGAUGGACCUGCGUUGUAUUAGCUAGUAGGUGAGGUAACGGCUCACCUAGGCGACGAUACAUAGCCGAAAUGAGAGGGUGGUCGGCCACACUGGGAGUGAGACACGGCACAGACUGAUACGGGAGGCAGCAGUAGGGAAUCUUCGGCAAUGGGGGGAAACCUGAGCGAGCAACGCCGCGUGAGUGAAGAAGGUUUUCGGAUCGUAAAGCUCUGUUGUUAAGGAAGAACGAGUGUGAGAAUGGAAAGUUCAUACUGUGACGGUACUUAACCAGAAAGGGACGGCUAACUACGUG